rnacentral:lncRNA from 1 species
UGUGGACUUAGAGUUGUUGGAAGCGAGGAACAGUAAGCAUUUGGCCAUCUCGGCUAGUGAAACAACGCGGGAUGAAAUGUUCGAUAGUGUUCUGCUCUGUGAUUGGCAGCUUCAUUGUGAUGCUGCCCACCUUAGAGAAAUGAAGGCAAAAGAAGAAAGCAACAGUCAACAGAAUGUUCAAAGCAAAAGAUAUGGCCAUGGGAAAGUGAAAUCACGAAGUAAGAAGAAAGAGGAGGGGAUUGACCUCAGGGCUCUUCUCAUCCAGUGUGCACAAGCAAUAGCAGUUAACAGCCUUCCGUUUGCUGGUGAGCUACUGAAGAAGAUAAGGCAUCACGCUUCACCAUAUGGAGAUGGUUCUCAGAGGCUGGCGAUUUACCUUGCAGAUGGUCUUGAGGCACGGUUGGCCGGGACAGGGAGUAAAAUGUAUCAGAAACUGAUGGAGAAACGAACAAGGGCCACAGACAUGUUAAAAGCCUACCGCCUUUUCAUUGCAG